AAGCGCACGCAGAAAUCACGGUCGUAGAGAUAGAGAUAUGAUCACAGCCGUCCAUUCUAGCUGCUUCCAUUCGAGUACAACGCACGUGCGAACAAGAAGUCCAUGGAAACCCACCUCACUCUCUCCUCCCAAAAACUAUUCGUUCUCUCUUCGUUCGGUAGGUGGGAAAGGAUUCGGUGCCGACGGAGGUGCUGGAAUCGGUGAGGAAGAGUCUCUCCAACAACAAGCUUAUCAUGGGAAGGGCCAAGCGCGGCAUCCAUGCGGGCCGUCACAUCCAGUUCGGCAACAAGGUCAGUGAGGAUGGCGGCAACAAGUACUUCUUCCAUUGUCGCCUCCCCAUUCCGUGAUUUCUUUUCAAGGUCUAGAUGGGCAUGGACACCUAAUAUACAAGCAAAGUGCCUGCUCAGUUAUAUCCAUGACCGAGACAUCCAGGUCAAGGUUACAACACACUCUCAGGUGCAUUGACAAAGCUGAUGGCAUAGACGAGAACCUUCUGAAAACACCCUACCAUAAAAUGGAGACAGAGAUGGGUUUAUUUUGGAAGACCAAGAUUGAGAAAAUGUAUGAGCAGCUUGGGAAUAUGGAAGUGGGUUUCUACUCUCCUGAAGAGGAAGCCAAGACUGAAAAGGGCUUUGAGGAGCUCAAGAUCACCAAGAGGGAGGCUCAAAGGGAAGCAAGAAGGGCCCUGGCAAAGCAAAAGCAGAUAAAAGAAGGAAGAGACAGAGAUGGGUUUAUUUUGGAAGACCAAGAUCGAGAAAAUGUAUGAGCAGCUUGGGAAUAUGGGUUUCUUCUCUUCUGAAGAGGUCUCCAAGAGGGAGGGUCGAAGGGAAGCAAGAAGAGCCCUGGCAAAGCAAAGGCAGAUAAAAGAAGGAAGAGACGAUGCUGAUGAGACAAUAGAAGCAAAGCAGAUUGGGGAAAGAACAACUGAUGAUGCGAAGGAGGCUGGGCAAGAUACUCCAAAACUGUCAUGAUUGAAUUGAGUUGAAGAGGAAAGCAGGUCAUGAGGAGAGGAUCAAUGAAUGCCAUCACAAGCAUAGGGGCCUGGCCAAGGCCUCCGAAGUGGGGAAGUUGAUUGUUGUUAUUAAUGAAAUGGCUUAAGCUUUACCAAAAGAAAAUCAAAUGGCUUAAGUAGGUCCAGUCUUUUAACUGCAUGGAAGGAUGUUGUUUUAUCUGUUGUUUGUAACUGGGCAUGACGUUUGGCCCUUAACUUUUGGAUUAGUACCAUCCAUAUUGGUAUUGUUAGUUGCAUACCAGAUUGAUAAAUUGCACAAGCCUUUUUUUUGUUUCGGUGAAUGUCGCUUCAUGGUUCAUGCAAGUUUAACCAUCAUACUCUGCAUUUACUUAAUUUCCUCUGAUGGAUUUA